AGUGAACGCUGGCGGUAGGCCUAACACAUGCAAGUCGAACGAGUGGCGGAGGGGUGAGGAAUACAUGGGAAUCUACUCUGUCGUGGGGGAUAAAGUGGGGAAACUUACGCUAAUACCGCAUACGAUUGAAUGAGCCGAUGUCGGAUUAGCUAGUGGGCGGGGGAAAGGCCCACCAAGGCGACGAUCCGUAGCUGGUCUGAGAGGUAGAACAGCCAAACGGGAACUGAGACACGGUCCAGACUCCUACGGGAGGCAGCAUUGGGGAAUAUUGGACAAUGGGCGCAAGCCUGAUCCAGCCAUACCGCGUGGGUGAAGAAGGCCUUCGGGUUGUAAAGCCCUUUUGUUGGGAAAGCGGUACCCAAAGAAUAAGCACCGGCUAACUUCGUGCCAGCAGCCGCGGUAAUUC
rnacentral:rRNA from 1 species